rnacentral:rRNA from 1 species
GUGCACGCUGGCGGUAGGCCUAACACCUGCAAGUCGAACGGCAGCACAGUAAGAGCUUGCUCUUACGGGUGGCGAGUGGCGGGCGGGUGAGGAAUACAUCGGAAUCUACUUUUUCGUGGGGGAUAACGUAGGGAAACUUACGCUAAUACCGCAUACGACCUACGGGUGAAAGCAGGGGAUCUUCGGACCUUGCGCGAUUGAAUGAGCCGAUGUCGGAUUAGCUAGUUGGCGGGGUAAAGGCCCACCAAGGCGACGAUCCGUAGCUGGUCUGAGAGGAUGAUCAGCCACACUGGAACUGAGACACGGUCCAGACUCCUACGGGAGGCAGCAGUGGGGAAUAUUGGACAAUGGGCGCAAGCCUGAUCCAGCCAUACCGCGUGGGUGAAGAAGGCCUUCGGGUUGUAAAGCCCUUUUGUUGGGAAAGAAAAGCAGCAGGUUAAUACCCCGCUGUUCUGACGGUACCCAAAGAAUAAGCACCGGCUAACUUCGUG